AGAAUCAACGCUGGCGGCGUGCCUAACACAUGCAAGUCGCACGAGAAAGGGGAGCAAUCCCUGAGUACAGUGGCGCACGGGUGAGUAACACGUGAAUCAUCUACCUCCGAGUGGGGAAUAACUGAGAGAAAUCUUAGCUAAUACCGCAUAACACUUACGAGUCAAAGCAGCAAUGCGCUUGGAGAGGAGUUCGCGGCAGAUUAGUUAGUUGGCGGGGUAAUGGCCCACCAAGACGAUGAUCUGUAUCCGGCCUGAGAGGGCGCACGGACACACUGGAACUGAAACACGGUCCAGACUCCUACGGGAGGCAGCAGUGGGGAAUUUUGCGCAAUGGGGGAAACCCUGACGCAGCAACGCCGCGUGGAGGAUGAAGCCCCUUGGGGUGUAAACUCCUUUCGAUCGGGAAGAUAAUGACGGUACCGAUAUAAGAAGCCCGGCUAACUUCGUGCCAGCAGCCGCGGUAA
rnacentral:rRNA from 1 species